rnacentral:tRNA from 1 species
GGGGAAGUGAUGUAGUGGUUAUCAUAUCUGCUUUGCAUGCAGAAGGCCCCGGGUUCAAACCCCGGCUUCUCCA